UAAACAAAUUGGUAAAUGAUGCAACUAUAUCAGUGAAUUGUGAAUGCUAUUAUGUCAGAUUCAACCAAAAGAAACUUCAUUUCCAGGUAUUCUUUUUAAUGAAAAUGCUGUUCAUGGGCAUUAUUUCAGCAGAAGUUUCUCAUGGUUGUCAGAUUUUUCCAAGAGGCCAAUAUGUGCAUUUUUACCUCCUCCUGUGGGGUUUUUGUUUUUGAGGACUGUACUACUUGUUCUGUUUGUAUUAUAUAAGCUAUAUUGCUAGAUAGAUUAUAGAAAAGGUGCUCCAAUGGUACAAGCCUGAUGACAUUAAUGGCCUAAAAGCAUUGAAGCCCACAUUUUACCUGGAGAAAUUUUAUCGUCUUAAUGUCUAUGUUAGAAAGUAACUGGUGAG
rnacentral:misc_RNA from 1 species